GAUGAACGCUGGCGGCGUGCCUAAUACAUGCAAGUCGAGCGAACAGAUGAGGAGCUUGCUCCUCUGACGUUAGCGGCGGACGGGUGAGUAACACGUGGAUCACCUACCUAUAAGACUGGGAUAACUUCGGGAAACCGGAUCUAAUACCGGAUAAUAUAUUGAACCGCAUGGUUCAAUAGUGAAAGACGGUUUUGCUGUCUCUUAUAGAUGGAUCCGCGCCGCAUUAGCUAGUUGGUAAGGUAACGGCUUACCAAGGCGACGAUGCGUAGCCGACCGGGGAGGGUGAUAGGCCACACUGGAACUGAGACACGGUCCAGACUCCUACGGGAGGCAGCAGUAGGGAAUCUUCCGCAAUGGGCGCAAGCCUGACGGAGCAACGCCGCGUGAGUGAUGAAGGUCUUCGGAUCGUAAAACUCUGUUAUUAGGGAAGAACAACUGUGUAAGUAUCUAUGCCCGUCUUGACGGUACCUAAUCAGAAAGCCCCGGCUAACUACGUG
rnacentral:rRNA from 1 species